UUGCGUCCCCCCCUGGAGAUCUUUAGAACUGGUCAGACUCGGGCUGCGCCUGCCGGAGGACGCGAUGCCCCAGACGGCCUCCUGAAGUCCCUGCAACCUCAGCUGUGCUGUCGCUGCGAGUCGCACGGGUCUGACUUCGUGUGCCGUUGCACUCGGCCGUGAAUUUUCACGCAGCAGCUGUGUGCCAGGACACGCAAAUAAGUGAAGGUGUUCCAAUUCCCUGUUACAUCGUUACUGAAUAUCAGAGCAUCCGCUUCUGCAUGAAGUGCUGAAGAGGAGGAUGCUGAGUCCCACUACAGCAUAGAUGGAAAAGUCAUGAAAAAUCAUUGGGAUUUUCCGGAGUUAUGGAUUGUAUCAUAUGGUGUAUGUGACUGAUCAUGAGAGAGAAGACCUGAGGCCUGAUCCUGCAACUGUUACAAACAUCCUACAACAGCCAUUUCAGUCACUAAGAAUGAAUAUUGAGGGUGCAAGAUUCUCCUGCAUCAGGCUGUAAGUGAUAUUUUUCUCUACAAAGCAGGAGCCAUUGGAAGAGACACUCAGGUGUCACACCACUAUGCUGAAACUCAGAAAGUUUCUCUAGGCGCUGCUGUGGAGAACAGGACUGCUGGAACAAUGGAAGUCUUGAUGUCUGUGGAAGUGUAUUGAUCCCAUGCAAAAUCCACUGAGUCUUGGAGCCUAUCUUCUAACAACCCAGUGUCCUGAUUUGGAAAUCCUUGGUCUGGAAAAGCUCAUAUGCAGUAUUAAAACAAACUGCUUGAAUAGAAGACAGUGAAUUUAAUAUGCUUUAUGUAUGCCUUUUGACAGGUAUUUCAAGUGGCAGCUUUAAUCCGCAGUAAUUUAGAUCUGAAAGAUAAUUCUUCUGUCAGAGAAUAAAGCUGAAGAAGCCACCAAAAUCUGACCUCUGAGUUGUGGCAAAGGCAGUUUAUGGGAAAAAUCAUGAAAUGUU